CUGACACAGUUCACUGCUCUAAAUUUCUGAGAAUACAAGAUGAGAGCUUCAUUAUUCUUAUUGAUCCUCCUGGUGAUAUUUCCUGGAGCUAUAUCUAACUACCGCGAAGAACGAAGUUUCAGUGACAGCGAUGAACUACAGCUGAAUCUUCUCUUCAAGUUCCUCCGGUUGCUGCCCAGGCUCAUAGGUCCACAUAUUCCCGUCAUACCUAAACGUCCAGCACCUGCUCCGACUCCAGCGCCGGCACCAAAGACACAGGCACCGACACCGACACCGACACCUACACCGACACCGGCUCCGGCACCACCAACA